rnacentral:rRNA from 1 species
UACGGGGGGGGCAAGCGUUGUUCGGAAUUACUGGGCGUAAAGGGCGCGUAGGCGGGUGGAAAAGUCUCUCGUGAAAGACCACGGCUCAACCGUGGAAUUGCGGGAGAUACUGUCUGUCUUGAGUCCGGGAGAGGAGGGUGGAACUCCCAGUGGAGCGGUGGAAUGCGGACAUAUUGGGAGGAACACCGGUGGCGAAGGCGGCUCUCUGGACCGGUACUGACGCUGAGGCGCGAAAGCUAGGGGAGCAAACGGG